UGGCGCACGGGUGCGUAACGCGUGGGAAUCUGCCCUUCGGUUGGGAAUAACACAGAGAAAUUUGUGCUAAUACCUUAUAAUGUCUUCGGACCAAAGAUUUAUCGCCGAGGGAUGAGCCCGCGUAGGAUUAGGUAGUUGGUGGGGUAAUGGCCUACCAAGCCGACGAUCCUUAGCUGGUCUGAGAGGAUGAUCAGCCACACUGGGACUGAGACACGGCCCAGACUCCUACGGGAGGCAGCAGUGGGGAAUAUUGGACAAUGGGCGAAAGCCUGAUCCAGCAAUGCCGCGUGAGUGAUGAAGGCCUUAGGGUUGUAAAGCUCUUUUACCCGGGAUGAUAAUGACAGUACCGGGAGAAUAAGCUCCGGCUAACUCCGUGCCAGCAGCCGCGGUAAUACGGAGGGAGCUAGCGUUGUUCGGAAUUACUGGGCGUAAAGCGCGCGUAGGCGGUUACUCAAGUCAGAGGUGAAAGCCCGGAGCUCAACUCCGGAACGGCCUUUGAAAC
rnacentral:rRNA from 1 species